rnacentral:rRNA from 1 species
UGGGGAAUCUUCCGCAAUGGACGAAAGUCUGACGGAGCAACGCCGCGUGAGUGAAGAAGGCCUUCGGGUUGUAAAGCUCUGUCUUCAGGGAAGAAACAAAUGACGGUACCUGAGGAGGAAGCCACGGCUAACUACGUGCCAGCAGCCGCGGUAAUACGUAGGUGGCAAGCGUUGUCCGGAAUCAUUGGGCGUAAAGGGCGCGUAGGCGGUUAUUUAAGUCAGCUGUGAAAACUCCGGGCUCAACCCGGAGAUUGCAGAUGAUACUGGAUGGCUUGAGUGCAGGAGAGGACAGUGGAAUUCCUAGUGUAGCGGUGAAAUGCGUAGAUAUUAGGAGGAACACCAGUGGCGAAGGCGGCUGUCUGGACUGUAACUGACGCUGAGGCGCGAAAGCGUGGGGAGCAAACAGG